rnacentral:rRNA from 1 species
UACGUAGGGCGCAAGCGUUGUCCGGAAUUAUUGGGCGUAAAGAGCUCGUAGGCGGCUUGUCACGUCGGGUGUGAAAGCCCGGGGCUUAACCCCGGGUCUGCAUUCGAUACGGGCUAGCUAGAGUGUGGUAGGGGAGAUCGGAAUUCCUGGUGUAGCGGUGAAAUGCGCAGAUAUCAGGAGGAACACCCGUGGCGAAGGCGGCUCUCUGGGACGGUACUGACGCUGAGACGCGAAAGCGUGGGGAGCGAACAGG